rnacentral:rRNA from 1 species
UACGUAGGGUGCAAGCGUUGUCCGGAAUUAUUGGGCGUAAAGAGCUCGUAGGCGGUUUGUCGCGUCUGCUGUGAAAACUCGGGGCUUAACUCCGGGCCUGCAGUGGGUACGGGCAGACUAGAGUGCGGUAGGGGAGACUGGAAUUCCUGGUGUAGCGGUGAAAUGCGCAGAUAUCAGGAGGAACACCAGCGGCGAAGGCGGCGCUCUGGGCUGGCACUGACGUGAGGAGCGAAAGCGUGGGGAGCGAACAGG